GACGAACGCUGGCGGCGUGCCUAAUACAUGCAAGUUGAGCGCUGAAGGUUGGUACUUGUACCAACUGGAUGAGCAGCGAACGGGUGAGUAACGCGUGGGUAGUCUGCCUUUGAGCGGGGGACAACAUUUGGAAACGAAUGCUAAUACCGCAUAAAAACUUUAAACACAAGUUUUAAGUUUGAAAGAUGCAAUUGCAUCACUCAAAGAUGAUCCCGCGUUGUAUUAGCUAGUUGGUGAGGUAAAGGCUCACCAAGGCGAUGGUACAUAGCCGACCUGAGAGGGUGAUCGGCCACAUUGGGACUGAGACACGGCCCAAACUCCUACGGGAGGCAGCAGUAGGGAAUCUUCGGCAAUAGACGAAAGUCUGACCGAGCAACGCCGCGUGAGUGAAGAAGGUUUUCGGAUCGUAAAACUCUGUUGGUAGAGAAGAACGUUGGUGAGAGUGGAAAGCUCAUCAAGUGACGGUAACUACCCAGAAAGGGACGGCUAACUACGUG
rnacentral:rRNA from 1 species